GGCAGGGGCCCUGUGUGAUACUUAUAAGAGAAUAUCUCUCCCACCACCCUCAUUCUCCCUGCUUUAGAGAUCAUAUUGUGGGGACAGGAGACCUGGAGCUGAAGCACGUAUUUUGUGACCACUAGGCAAGAAGCCUGAAGGAAAAUUCCAAAAUAAUAGGAGGAAUCGGAAAGAGAAAACCACCAUUUGGGUCAUUGAGAUCAUACUUGGGCUGGCAAUCAAGCCUUAUUUUUAUUGGUAAUGAAUAUUCUCUGGCUUAAUGCAUGGUUACUGUGGUUUUCUAGUUCCUAGAACAGUGUCUGGAAGGAAAUCCAAAGUGUUUGUUGAUUCAAUAGCUUAAAUUUUGGUCAUUUUCAUGUCCCAAACAUCCAAUACGGUUCUUCAUAUGCAUUAGCUGAUGGAGAAGCUGAAACCUACAGGCUGUACAGAGGUAUCUCAGGUCAUACCUUUGGUUCAAAUAAAACCCAGAACAGAAGAACUGGAAAGACUGCAGGUGCAGUGACCGGAAGUUCUCUACAGUUGCUAAGAAGACUCUAAGGAUAUUGAAAGUUAAGUAGGGCCACACCUCAGGAGCCACAUGAAAGAUUGGCUGAACUCCAAAAUGAAGAAGAAAAAUACAUAACGAAUCAUUUUCAGUCUCUACUGGCAUCUUCACCACAAAUCUAGUAGACUAAUUUAACACUCUAUGGAUUACGUUCUAUUAAAAACAUGUAUGUAUAUGGA